rnacentral:RNase_P_RNA from 1 species
AAAGUCGGCCAGGCAAUCGCUGGAUGUCCGGAGGCAACUUCGGCAUCGGGAGGAAAGUCCGGGCUCCAUUGGGCAGGAUGCCAGUUAACGACUGGGUGCUAUAAGUCGCAAGACCCAAGGCAACGGAAAGUGCAACAGAAAAUAGACCGCCGAUGGCCCCAUUGCGCAAGCGUGGGGAUCAGGUAAGGGCGAAACGGCGAGGUAAGAGCUCACCGCGCUGGCGGUAACGUUCAGCGGCAUGGCAAACCCCAUCCGGAGCAAGACCAAAUAGGGAAGCAUUAGGCGUGGCCCGCGCUGCUUCCGGGUAGGUUGCUUGAGCCUGUCGGUGACGGCAGGCCUAGAGGAAUGAUUGCCGAACCCCGCAAGGGGGGAACAGAACCCGGCUUAUCGGCCGGCUUUCCAC